GACGAACGCUGGCGGCGUGCUUAACACAUGCAAGUCGAACGGAAAGGCCCUGCUUUUGUGGGGUGCUCGAGUGGCGAACGGGUGAGUAACACGUGAGUAACCUCCCCUUGACUUUGGGAUAACUUCAGGAAACUGGGGCUAAUACCGGAUAGGAGCUCCGGCGGCAUGGUGGGGGUUGGACAGUUUCGGCGGUUGGGUAUGGACUCGCGGCUUAUCAGCUUGUUGGUGGGGUAGUGGCUUACCAAGGCUGUGACGGGUAGCCGGCCCGAGAGGGUGACCGGCCCCCUUGUGACUGAGAUACUGCCCAGGCUCCUCCGGGAGGCAGCAGUGGGGAAUAUUGCACAAUGGGCGGAAGCCUGACGCAGGAACGCCGCGUGCGGGAUGACGGCCUUCGGGUUGUACACCGCUUUCGGGUGUGACGAAUCGAGAGUGACGGUAAUGGGUAAAGAAGCACCGGCUAACUACGUG
rnacentral:rRNA from 1 species